UUGAAAAGAGAGUUAAACAGCACGUGAAAUUGUUGAAAGGGAAGCGCUUGGGACCAGACUCGCCCGCGGGGUUCAGCCGGCAUUCGUGCCGGUGUACUUCCCCGUGGGCGGGCCAGCGUCGGUUUGGGCGGCCGGUCAAAGGCCCCUGGAAUGUAGUACCCUCCGGGGUACCUUAUAGCCAGGGGUGCAAUGCGGCCAGCCUGGACCGAGGAACGCGCUUCGGCACGGACGCUGGCAUAAUGGUCGUAAACGACCCGUCUUGAAACACGGACCAAGACGCGGGUCGUCGACGAUUAUGCUGCCGUCCGGGCC
rnacentral:rRNA from 1 species